rnacentral:rRNA from 1 species
UACGUAGGGGGCGAGCGUUGUCCGGAUUUAUUGGGCGUAAAGCGCGUGUAGGCGGCCAGAUAGGUCUGCUGUGAAAACUCAAGGCUCAACCUCGAGCUGUCGGCGGAAACCAUCUGGCUAGAGUCCGGAAGAGGAGAGUGGAAUUCCUGGUGUAGCGGUGAAAUGCGCAGAUAUCAGGAAGAACACCUAUGGCGAAGGCAGCUCUCUGGGACGGUACUGACGCUGAGACGCGAAAGCGUGGGGAGCGAACAGG